ACUGAACAAGUUUCUACUUCAUCAGCCAGUCAGGACUUGGGUAUGGACACAACUGCAGCUAAAAGUCAUCCAACUCAGCAAGAUGACUCAGAGGAAUUGGAGUCUGGAAAGACAGAUUCUCCUGUCACACUGACUAUGGUUAAAAUGGAGGAGUUUUGUAUUGCUUCACAUACUGGAGGAAAGUGAACAACCAAAAGCUGGAGCCAUGUUUGUGUGUGGUCCAAUUUCAUCUUAGUUACAUUAAAAAGACGUUUAUGUGUCUAACACAAAUUCAUAUACUUUUAUACACAAAUUAAUAAAAAAAAAAUUAUGUACACAAUUACAUAAAAAAAUCAUCCGCGGACAGGCCAGAGUAUUCCAAUACGUGGUACCAUUACGUGUGUUUCGACUCAUGUUGUCUAUCUUAUUCGUUGUCCCUGUGGUUUGGCGUAUGUCAGUAAAACAUCUAGAUACUUGCGUACCCGUAUCUGUGAGCACCGGAGUAACAUC